rnacentral:lncRNA from 1 species
GGAAAAGCAAGACUUAAAGGGAUACAUUACCCAUUUUGCUUCUACAACUACUUUAAUGUUUAAAUUCCUAUGUUGUCUAAAAUUUUUUCCCUAUCAGUAGGAAAGGUUGGGCUGGGGAUGUAGCUUAGUUGCACUGCACCUGCCUGGCAAGUUCUGAGUUUGAUCCCCCAGUACUGGAAAAAAAACUUACUAAAGAGUAGGAAAGGUUUAUUGGGAGGAUAGCUCCUGAGAGGCAGGAGGGGUCCUGAAUGGGUAGGCAAGGAUCCCACUUUACAGGGAAGUUUUAUAGAGCAAAAAACCACAUGAGUACAACAUAGGUUAAAGCUAUAGUUAGCCAAUAAGGUUACAAGUAUAGUUGCUUAGGUAAUAGUGAUCCAAGGGGGGAACAAGUCACACAAGUGUCUGUGGAAAGAAUAAGGAACUCUGGUAGGUGAUGGAUCUGGAGGUCUUGGUUGACCAUUGAGGUGACUGAUGCCUAUCCAGAGUUUAUUAGACCAAGUGUUAUCACUUACCUCAUGCCUUGAGGAAGUAUGUAGACCUGGUCCUUUUGUUAUUAUCUUAAGGCCUGGCCUCCAACUGAUGUAUCUCCAAUCACAGUUGUAGUAUGUUUUCACCUUAUGCCUUGACUCUCCUGAGGGCCCACCCCUAUCUGACUUCCUAUAAUAUUUCUGCCUAACAUAGUUGUCUAUAAAAAUUUCAUGUUCCAGCAUUCUAUCUCAGUUGUUGGUUCUCAGUGCCAACAUUCAGUGAGAUUAUAACUGGUACUGCAAAAGGCAACUUAAAUUAGAUUUCUCCCCCCAAAUUUCUUCAGCCUAGAGCAUAAACAUCAGCCCUGAUGAAUGGAUGGAAUAUGCAGAUCUUGGCAUCUGGAUGUCAAACCCCAUUUCAUUCCCCUAGGCAUGGGAGGUCCUGGGAAGGACAGAAGUCUGAACUUGUCUAUUGUUCCAUUGUAUUCCCUCCCUUUCUGUUCCUUGAUAGUAAAGACCCCAACACAUGGUAAGAGCAGUGAGAUGGUGAUUUGAGGAAAAUGCCCCCUCUCAUCUUUUUGGAGUUAGCUUUCAGUGAAUCUUUUUUAUUUUUACCAAAAUAAAUGGCCUCCUUUGAUUUGUUCAGUGUUGUGCAAAUGAACCUGAGCUUGUGAACCUAAGUGGCCAGUAACAAGAUGAUGGGCCACAGGAUCACAGACAUUAAGAUAAGAGAUGAGAUGUCACAUUCAGCAGGUGGGUUCUCUCAUGUCUCUCUGCAGUAGCUGGGUCUGCUUGCAGCACUCCUCAUCAUUACCCACACCGUGCAAACAAUAGUUUUUUGUCCUGAAUGGCUGCUAUGGGGCAACAAGUCCCAUUUUUUUCAGCUGUCUGCUGAGAGCUCUCUCAUUGCAAGUCAAGCUUUAGGAGAUUCUGUUGCAUGGAAGAAGGAUGGAGCACCAAAGGGUACAAGCGCGUGGACACCAUUUUGAAUUGUACUCCAACUGCAUCAUCUUCCCCUUGACCUGGACACGGAGCCUCUGAACCAAGGCCACACAGUGAACUCGCCUGUGAGACAAACUCGGAGUAAAAGUGACAACACACGGAUUUCCCAGGACGAUUUCCGGACUCCGACG